rnacentral:lncRNA from 1 species
CUCAGAAUUUGUUAAGGACACGAAGGCAAUGUUAUGCCCCAAAAGAUGGGCGCCCGUGAUCCACUCUUGACCCAUAAAUGGGCUUUCCAGUGAGGGGGAAUGUUAGAAUAUGAUCCUGGUAAGCCCUCCUCCUAACCCCUUGAGGUUUUAGGAGAAUUGGUCACUUAACACUAAAGUUGCAGUUGCACGAAGUGAUUGAAUUGAUGAAGGUGGUUGAUCUCCAUUUUCAUAAUAUGAAUCAUUGAGUCUCAGCUGUCGGAAUUUUCAUCAAAGUUCUGUAAUUUACAGAUCUUUUUCUUCAGCAACCUGCCAAGAAUCUUUUAAAGCUUGCCACGCUCUCUUGACAAAGUUAAGAGAGCAGUAUAGCUCCAGUUGAUGUCAGACUUGCAGAGUUGCAGUAUAGCUCGAGUUUUUAAUGAAAACCACAGAAAAACCAGUUAAGUAAACUAUUUCACCAAGCUUGCCAGCUGCGUGUUCUCCUGAUAAAAAACUCGGUUGUGAAUCUGUGAUAAGAAGUGAAAUCAAGAAUAAAAAUUUAACAAUAUAUAACAACCUAAUGAAAAAAUUGUGUUAUAACACAAAAAGCUUGUACAGCUUAUUCCAGGUCUUGAGUACAUGAAUACUUACUGUGAGCAAAAAACAUCACUAAAAAGCCAAACCGGCAGAACAGAAAAUAAUGAAUAACUUAGGGGUUUGUAAUGAAUAAGCAGCAGCUUGACUAACUCUUAUUGAGUAUAGAUUAGACUUUGAAGUUUAAACUAUUGCAGAAGCCUGUGUAUGAUUUAAGCAUUCAAGUUGCUCAAUGUGUUGACAUUUUGCAUAAUGGCUUUAAACAUUCAAGUCUUAUUAAGAAAAUUUCAGUCAAUGCAUUAUGUUUAUAUAAUCUAAUUAUUUACAUCUUGUUUUCAUUAUCUAGCCCUUAUCUUUCCAAUUUUUUCUAAUCGGUUAACUUCAAACAUCCCAGUUGUUAGAUCUGUUAAGUGAAGAAAUUUCCU